rnacentral:rRNA from 1 species
UAGGGAAUAUUGGACAAUGGGUGCGAGCCUGAUCCAGCCAUGCCGCGUGCAGGAAGAAAGCCUUCUGGGUUGUAAACUGCUUUUCUCUGGGGAUAAAAGGCCCAUGCGUGGGACAUUGAAGGUACCAGAGGAAUAAGCCACGGCUAACUACGUGCCAGCAGCCGCGGUAAUACGUAGGUGGCAAGCGUUGUCCGGAUUUAUUGGGUUUAAAGGGUGCGUAGGCGGCUUUGUAAGUCAGUUGUGAAAUACGGCAGCUCAGCUGUCGAGGUGCAAUUGAUACUGCAAAGCUUGAGUACUGAUGAGGUAGGCGGAAUGGACGGUGUAGCGGUGAAAUGCUUAGAGAUCGUCCAGAACACCGAUAGCGAAGGCAGCUUACUAAGGAGUAACUGACGCUGAGGCACGAAAGUGUGGGGAUCAAACAGGAUUAGAUACCCUGGUAGUCCACACUGUAAACGAUGAUUACUCGAUGUGUGCGAUAUACGGCACGCGUCUUAGCAAAAGCGAUAAGUAAUCCACCUGGGGAGUACGCCGGCAACGGUG